rnacentral:piRNA from 1 species
UCCAAGCUUGGGAAGAAGAUUUGAAGCUAC